AUCAAUAAGCGGAGGAAAAGAAACUAACAAGGGAUUCCCCUAGUAACUGCGAGUGAAGCGGGAAAAGCUCAAAUUUAAAAUCUGUCAGUCUUUGGCUGUCCGAGUUGUAAUCUAGAGAAGUGUUAUCCGCGCUGGACCGUGUACAAGUCUCCUGGAAUGGAGCGUCAUAGAGGGUGAGAAUCCCGUCUUUGACACGGACUGCCAGGGCUUUGUGAUGUGCUCUCAAAGAGUCGAGUUGUUUGGGAAUGCAGCUCAAAAUGGGUGGUAAAUUCCAUCUAAAGCUAAAUAUUGGCGAGAGACCGAUAGCGAACAAGUACCGUGAGGGAAAGAUGAAAAGAACUUUGGAAAGAGAGUUAAACAGUACGUGAAAUUGCUGAAAGGGAAACGCUUGAAGUCAGUCGCGUUGUCCAGGGAUCAACCUUGCUUUUGCUUGGUGUACUUUCUGGUUGACGGGUCAGCAUCAAUUUUGACCAUUGGAAAAAUAUCAGGGGAAUGUGGCAUCUUCGGAUGUGUUAUAGCCCUUGGUUGUAUACAAUGGUUGGGAUUGAGGAACUCAGCACGCCGCAAGGCCGGGUUUUUAACCACGUACGUGCUUAGGAUGCUGGCAAAAUGGCUUUAAUCGACCCGUCUUGAAACACGGACCAAGGAGUCUAACAUACCUGCGAGUGUUUGGGUGGAAAACCCGAGCGCGUAAUGAAAGUGAAAGUUGAGAUCCCUGUCAUGGGGAGCAUCGACGCCCGGACCAGACCUUUUGUGACGGUUCCGCGGUAGAGCAUGUAUGUUGGGACCCGAAAGAUGGUGAACUAUGCCUGAAUAGGGUGAAGCCAGAGGAAACUCUGGUGGAGGCUCGUAGCGAUUCUGACGUGCAAAUCGAUCGUCAAAUUUGGGUAUAGGGGCGAAAGACUAAUCGAACCAUCUAGUAGCUGG
rnacentral:rRNA from 1 species